ACCAGCAAGAAAGACACGACCACCGG
rnacentral:piRNA from 1 species